UGGGGAAUAUUGCGCAAUGGGCGAAAGCCUGACGCAGCGACGCCGCGUGAGGGAUGAAGGUUUUCGGAUCGUAAACCUCUGUCAGAAGGGAAGAAACCGCACUGUGCUAAUCAGCAGUGCCUUGACGGUACCUUCAAAGGAAGCACCGGCUAACUCCGUGCCAGCAGCCGCGGUAAUACGGAGGGUGCAAGCGUUAAUCGGAAUUACUGGGCGUAAAGCGCACGUAGGCUGCUUUGUAAGUCAGGGGUGAAAUCCCACGGCUCAACCGUGGAACUGCCUUUGAUACUGCUUAGCUUGAGUCCGGGAGAGGGGGGCGGAAUUCCAGGUGUAGGGGUGAAAGCCGUAGAUAUCUGGAGGAGCAUCAGUGGCGAAGGCGGCCACCUGGACCGGUAUUGACGCUGGGGUGCGAAAGCGUGGGGAGCAAACAGG
rnacentral:rRNA from 1 species